rnacentral:rRNA from 1 species
AUGGCAGCUUGGACGACUACUUCUUCAAGCCCUGUGCUGCCAUGGUCGACCAGACUAAGCAUUGUCUUAGCUACGGCGAAAGGCCUAGUGUCCCUCCACGGCGCGGAGAAGCCAUUGAUCUGCGGCGAAUUCAACUCCUCCGACAUCCUACUUGCCUCGUAUAACAAGGUCAAGAUCUCGCUCUCGGGCCUGAGGCUUGACACGAGAGCGAGCGAUGGCUCGGUCACCACCACACGCUCGUGCGUAGGAACACCACGCGGUAGCGCACCGGAGUACGUCAUGGCUGGCAGUCUCACCCCGAAAUGCGACGUGUACAACUUUGGGGUGGUGUUGUUGGAGAUUCUGAUCACAGGGAUGAAGUGGGUAGACAUGAAAAGACCCGUCGAGGAGGAGCGGGACCUGCUAGAGUACGCGCGGCCGAAUCUUGAAGACCCGGUUAAACUGGCAGGGUUCAUGGAUAAAGCAUUGAAGGGCAUCUACCCAGUGGCAGCGGCACACAAGGCUGCCUUGGUCACAUACAGGUGCCUACAUGUCAAACCCGAGAACAGGCCGGACAUGUCGGACGUCCUGGAGGCGCUCGAUCAGCUUACCGACGCUGCCAUCAAGGAGGAUCAGUUGCCUGUGCCGGCGCCUGUGUCACCCAACUCCAACCUACAUAGGUUCACCUUCGCUGAGUUGAGCGCCGCGACCGGAGGGUUCGCCUCCAGAAACAAAAUCGGCAGUGGCAGUUUCGGGACGGUGUACAGGGGAUCCCUCGAGGACGGCAUCCCGCCGGGGCUCCGUGCGCAGCCCGUCGCAGUCAAGAGAGCGCGGGCAGACAACUACCACUCCGAGGAACAUCUGAAAGAUUCGAUAUUCCUGGGGGAGCUGCAGCCGCGGCAGCCGAGCCUGGUGAAGAUGAUCGGCUACUGCUACGAGGGGUUGCACAGGCUUCUCGUCUACGAGCUAAUGGACCAUGGCAGCUUGGCAAACUACCUCUCUAAUGAUAUUCGUGUUGUGUUGUCAUUGUCAACACGAUUAAGCAUUGCUCUAGCUACCGCGAAAGGGUUGUUGUCCCUCCACGGUGAAGAGAAGCCAUUGAUCUCCAGCAAAUUUAACGCCUCCAACAUCUUACUAGACUCGUAUAACAAUGUCAAGCUUUCGGACCUGUGGUUCGCCAGGAAAUAUGGGAAAGGUGACGACUCUAACGAGUACACACUCAUGACAAGUGGGUACGGCUGUGCGCCGGAGUACGUCAUGUCUGGGGACUUCACUAUGAAGUGCGACGUCUACUGCUUCGGGGUGGUGUUACUAGAGAUCCUAACCAGGCAGAGGUUGGAUUGGGUGACGCGAGCUUCAGAACAGAACCUGCAGAAUCUACGACCGCGUCUGAGAGACCCGCUCGAGCUGGGGAGGGUCAUGGACCCGGUGUUGAAAGACAUUUACCCAGUCGCAGCGGCACAUGAAGCUUGCAUGGUCGCGUAUAGGUGCCUUCACGCAAGCCCCGAGAAACGUCUAAGCAUGCUAGCUGUUGUGGAGGCGCUUGAUUUGCUUGUUCGUGCCACCACCACAGACGAGGUCAAUGUUGGACAGACAAACACAAGGACGUGA